rnacentral:rRNA from 1 species
CCUACGGGGGGCUGCAGUGGGGAAUAUUGGGCAAUGGGCGCAAGCCUGACCCAGCAACGCCGCGUGAAGGAAGAAGGCCCUCGGGUUGUAAACUUCUUUUAUCAGGGACGAAACAAGUGACGGUACCUGAUGAACAAGCCACGGCUAACUACGUGCCAGCAGCCGCGGUAAUACGUAGGUGGCAAGCGUUAUCCGGAUUUACUGGGUGUAAAGGGCGUGUAGGUGGGAAAGCAAGUCAGAUGUGAAAACCAUGGGCUCAACCUGUGGCCUGCAUUUGAAACUGGUUUUCUUGAGUGCUGGAGAGGCAGACGGAAUUCCUAGUGUAGCGGUGAAAUGCGUAGAUAUUAGGAAGAACACCAGUGGCGAAGGCGGUCUGCUGGACAGCAACUGACGCUGAGGCGCGAAAGCGUGGGUAGCAAACAGGAUUAGAUACCCGAGUAGUC